UGCCAGCUAUAAAUAAAUGCUAACAGCCAUGGAUUAGAUAAAGCAGCGAUUUUCAACCUUUCAUGGCACACACAAACUAAUUACAAAAACUUUUGUUGCACACCAAAAAAUAUAUUAUAUUUUUUGCCGAACUGACAAAAAAAAUAGGGUUUCCAGACGUGAUCUAUUGGAAGUGAAACAUGUGGAGAUGCAGUCUCUACUCUGUUAACACCUGGGACAACAGAUCAAACCAUUUUUAAGAGAGGAAAUAUGAUUUAUACUGUGCUGUUGUUAAAAAUCCACAAUAGUUUGUGGUUAAAAUGGCUUAUCAGCAUUCUGAAAAGCUCAAUCUCAGGGAAAGAGCAGCCUGUGUGGAAAGCACAACUACUGUAUCCAGUCAAUCAAAGUCAGUAAGGAAACACAGAGACCGAUACUAUGACAAAUGGAGAGGAAAAAACGAAUAUCUGUACUGCCCUGCGCUGACACAGCCGUAUGCAAGCUUUGUGAGCAGUUUUAUGUGAAGUCAUUAAAUGGCACUGCCUUUUCCUGGUGCCCCAACACUGCAUCUGCUUAAAAAAGGCUGGAACAUUUUUUGAUUGCUACCAUACUGGUCA